GACGAACGCUGGCGGCGUGCUUAACACAUGCAAGUCGAACGGGUCUGCCCUGUUUUUUGCGGGGUGGGUCAGUGGCGAACGGGUGAGUAACACGUGAGUAACCAGCCCCUCACUUCUGGAUAACCGCUUGAAAGGGUGGCUAAUACGGGGUGUUCUGGCUGUGCCGCAUGGUGUGGCUGGGAAAGAUUCACUUUUGUGGUGUUUUGGUGGGGGAUGGGCUCGCGGCCUAUCAGCUUGUUGGUGGGGUGAUGGCCUGCCAAGGCUUUGACGGGUAGCCGGCCUGAGAGGGUGGGCGGUCACACUGGGACUGAGAUACGGCCCAGACUCCUGCGGGAGGCAGCAGUGGGGGGUAUUGCACAAUGGGCGGAAGCCUGAUGCAGCGACGUCGCGUGAGGGAUGGAGGCCUUCGGGUUGUGAACCUCUUUCGCCGGUGAAGAAGGUCCUGCUCUUUGUGGUGGGGUUGACGGUAGCCGGGUUAUGAAGCGCCGGCUAACUACGUG
rnacentral:rRNA from 1 species